UCGAACGCAAGUAGCAAUACUUGAGUGGCGGACGGGUGAGUAACGCGUGAGAAUCUGCCUAGAGGUUGGGGACAACCACUGGAAACGGUGGCUAAUACCCAAUAUGCCUAUUCGUGAAAGAUUUAUCGCCUCUAGAUGAGCUCGCGUCUGAUUAGCUAGUUGGUAGGGUAAAAGCCUACCAAGGCAUCGAUCAGUAGCUGGUCCGAGAGGAUGACCAGCCACACUGGGACUGAGACACGGCCCAGACUCCUACGGGAGGCAGCAGUGGGGAAUUUUCCGCAAUGGGCGAAAGCCUGACGGAGCAAGACCGCGUGAGGGAGGAAGGCUCUUGGGUCGUAAACCUCUUUUGUCAGGGAAGAACACAAUGACGGUACCUGACGAAUCAGCCUCGGCUAACUCCGUGCCAGCAGCCGCGGUAAUACGGAGGAGGCAAGCGUUA
rnacentral:rRNA from 1 species